rnacentral:rRNA from 1 species
UGGGGAAUUUUGGACAAUGGGCGAAAGCCUGAUCCAGCAAUGCCGCGUGUGUGAAGAAGGCCUUCGGGUUGUAAAGCACUUUUGUCCGGAAAGAAAUCCUCUGGGUUAAUACCUCGGGGGGAUGACGGUACCGGAAGAAUAAGCACCGGCUAACUACGUGCCAGCAGCCGCGGUAAUACGUAGGGUGCAAGCGUUAAUCGGAAUUACUGGGCGUAAAGCGUGCGCAGGCGGUUUUGUAAGACGGAUGUGAAAUCCCCGGGCUUAACGGAGCAUGCAUUCGUGACUGCAAGGCUAGAGUAUGGCAGAGGGGGUAGAAUUCCACGUGUAGCAGUGAAAUGCGUAGAGAUGUGGAGGAAUACCGAUGGCGAAGGCAGCCCCCUGGGCCAAUACUGACGCUCAUGCACGAAAGCGUGGGGAGCAAACAGGAUUAGAUACCCUGGUAGUCCACGCCCUAAACGAUGUCAACUAGUUGUUGGGGAUUCAUUUCCUUAGUAACGUAGCUAACGCGUGAAGUUGACCGCCUGGGGAGUACGGUCGCAAGAUUAAAACUUAAAGGAAUUGAC